UAGUAAUUUAAAAGGGGCAAUUGCUCCACUAUGAGAUGGACCUGCGUUGUAUUAGCUAGUUGGUGAGGCAAAGGCUCACCAAGGCGACGAUACAUAGCCGACCUGAGAGGGUGAUCGGCCACACUGGGACUGAGACACGGCCCAGACUCCUACGGGAGGCAGCAGUAGGGAAUCUUCGGCAAUGGGGGCAACCCUGACCGAGCAACGCCGCGUGAGUGAAGAAGGUUUUCGGAUCGUAAAGCUCUGUUGUUAGAGAAGAAUGAUGGUGGGAGUGGAAAAUCCACCAAGUGACGGUAACUAACCGGAAAGGGACGGCUAACUACGUGCCAGCAGCCGCGGUAAUACGUAGGUCCCGAGCGUUGUCCGGAUUUAUUGGGCGUAAAGCGAGCGCAGGCGGUUUUUUAAGUCUGAAGUUAAAGGCAUUGGCUCAACCAAUGUACGCUUUGGAAACUGGAGAACUUGAGUGCAGAAGGGGAGAGUGGAAUUCCAUGUGUAGCGGUGAAAUGCGUAGAUAUAUGGAGGAACACCGGUGGCGAAAGCGGCUCUCUGGUCUGUAACUGACGCUGAGGCUCGAAAGCGUGGGGAGCAAACAGGAUUA
rnacentral:rRNA from 1 species